rnacentral:rRNA from 1 species
AGAGUUUGAUCAUGGCUCAGGACGAACGCUGGCGGCACGCUUAACACAUGCAAGUCGAACGAGAGAAGAGGAGCUUGCUUUUCUGAUCUAGUGGCGGACGGGUGAGUAACACGUGAGCAAUCUGCCUUUCAGAGGGGGAUACCGAUUGGAAACGAUCGUUGAUACCGCAUAACAUAAUUGAACCGCAUGAUUUGAUUAUCAAAGAUUUAUCGCUGAAAGAUGAGCUCGCGUCUGAUUAGCUAGUUGGUAAGGUAACGGCUUACCAAGGCGACGAUCAGUAGCCGGACUGAGAGGUUGAUCGGCCACAUUGGGACUGAGACACGGCCCAGACUCCUACGGGAGGCAGCAGUGGGGAAUAUUGCACAAUGGAGGAAACUCUGAUGCAGCGAUGCCGCGUGAGGGAAGAAGGUUUUAGGAUUGUAAACCUCUGUCUUCAGGGACGAAAAAAGACGGUACCUGAGGAGGAAGCUCCGGCUAACUACGUGCCAGCAGCCGCGGUAAUACGUAGGGAGCGAGCGUUGUCCGGAAUUACUGGGUGUAAAGGGAGCGUAGGCGGGAUCGCAAGUCAGAUGUGAAAACUAUGGGCUUAACCCAUAAACUGCAUUUGAAACUGUGGUUCUUGAGUGAAGUAGAGGUAAGCGGAAUUCCUAGUGUAGCGGUGAAAUGCGUAGAUAUUAGGAGGGACAUCAGUGGCGAAGGCGGCUUACUGGGCUUUAACUGACGCUGAGGCUCGAAAGCGUGGGGAGCAAACAGGAUUAGAUACCCUGGUAGUCCACGCCGUAAACGAUGAUUACUAGGUGUGGGGGGACUGACCCCUUCCGUGCCGCAGCAAACGCAAUAAGUAAUCCACCUGGGGAGUACGACCGCAAGGUUGAAACUCAAAGGAAUUGACGGGGGCCCGCACAAGCAGUGGAGUAUGUGGAUUAAUUCGAAGCAACGCGAAGAACCUUACCAGGUCUUGACAUCGUAUGCAUAGCUCAGAGAUGAGUGAAAUCUCUUCGGAGACAUAUAGACAGGUGGUGCAUGGUUGUCGUCAGCUCGUGUCGUGAGAUGUUGGGUUAAGUCCCGCAACGAGCGCAACCCUUACUGUUAGUUGCUACGCAAGAGCACUCUAGCAGGACUGCCGUUGACAAAACGGAGGAAGGUGGGGAUGACGUCAAAUCAUCAUGCCCCUUAUGACCUGGGCCUCACACGUACUACAAUGGCUGUCAACAGAGGGAAGCAAAGCCGCGAGGUGGAGCGAACCCCUAAAAGCAGUCUUAGUUCGGAUUGUAGGCUGCAACCCGCCUACAUGAAGUCGGAAUUGCUAGUAAUCGCAGAUCAGCAUGCUGCGGUGAAUACGUUCCCGGGCCUUGUACACACCGCCCGUCACGCCAUGGGAGUCGGUAACACCCGAAGCCUGUAGUCUAACCGCAAGGAGGACGCAGUCGAAGGUGGGAUUGAUGACUGGGGUGAAGCCGUAACAAGGUA